AAAUCGACAGCUGGAUACCAUUAGUCAAUGUCCGUUUACAUCACCGACUCAACUUUAAUGAUAGCAGUUUUCAAAGUAUCUUUUAAUUUUUUGCUACCCAUUUCUAAAGGAGUUUCAUCUUCUCUUUUCUCUCAAUCUGGCUGCCUUGGCCGAAGUUUCUCCUGGCAAACGUAAUCUGGAACUCCUCCCAAUAGGUAAUGGCUUUCUCCCCUCUUCAGAGCCUCUUUCGCAAGAACAUGGGCAUAUGUAUUCUCUUUUUUAGGGAUAAACUGAAACCCUAUCUCUUGAAAUUUAACUUUUUUGUUUUGGAUAUCUCUGAUGAGUGCUCCAAUGGCUGAUUUGUCAAGAUCUGUACUUUGGCAUUUCUUUAUAAUCUCCCAUUAUUUCCAGUUUGUUUAAGCUCAUAUAAAUUCCUAAUCUCAUGGCUUGUAAUCCUGCAUGUGCUUCCGUAGCAAACGAAAUUGCUAUAUCGGAGUGAAUGACCGUCUUAGAUGCUAAGAUCUCGCCCCCCACAUCUCGUACAAUCAAACCCGAAGCAUAUUUGAAGGAUUGCUGGUCAAAGGCUGCAUCAAAAUAGAUUGUUACCCUUGUUCUUCGAUUAACAUGUUGAAGGCCUUUGCCAGCCUGAAAGGUGAGUUUCUUUUUUUUUAUUCCAUCCAACUCAGAGAUGUAACUGUAUAUUUGCUUCAAAAUGUAUCUUCCUGUCACAUUUUUUCUUUCAUACAGUAACCGAUUUCUAUUGGACCAGAUUAGCCAAAGCCCGCAACAGAAAAGUCAACAUUGUUCACUAAUCCCUCGACUAAAGACCUAGGUAAGCUAUUCCCACAUACUGUGAAUAUCGUUGUUAAGAACCUAGGAAAGAUAUAAGUAAAUCCAAACAUCCAUUAUAGGAUACUGUCGAAAAAUAUGGUUACUAUCUUCCUUAUAUUGACGACACCGAGGGCAUUGAGCAUCCAUCGCCACUUUCUUAUGCUUAAGGUUGACGAGUAGGAAUAAAAUUCCAGGAGAUUCUCCAUACUGGUAUUGUAACUUUUGAGGGGAUGUAUAAAUUCCAUAGUUUCCUGUAGAAAUUUUUUGUUUCGGCUUGUAUAAUAUAAUUACUAGGACCAAGUUAGUCUCCUGUAAUAGUUUAUAGGCACUUCUGAGAGUUCGCCUCUCCACACUUGAAAAUUGUCAUAUGUUAUCUCCGCCAGAGGAAUCUGCAUGAUUUUUUUUUGCAAUAUCUGUAUGAAAGGUAUUCAUAAUAACAUCUGUUUUCCAGGUCUUGUCAAUAGCCUCAUUUAAAUCCGAUACUAACUUGAUGUUUUCAUUGUUGUCUUGGUUCUGUAAUCUGUCUGCCUCUUCUUCCGAAAUUCAUAAAUCAUCCCAAACGAAAAUUUGAUCCCCCGUUCCAACCCUCCAGCAUAGACCUUUCUACAGAAGUCCUCUUGUUGCCCAUACAUUUUUCCAGGUAAGCGAAGGUAAAUUCCCUAACCUAGCAUUAUAGAAAUUCGAGUUAGGAUAAUAUUUUGCCUUCAAGACACGGGCUAAUAAAGAAUUUGGAAAAUUAAUAAGACGCCAACCCUGCUUUGCUAAUAACACUAUGUUAAAUUUUUCAAAAUUUCGAAAAUCAAGACCACCAUCUUAUUUUAACGAGCAUAGUUCCUGCCAAGCACACCAAUGGAUGCCUUUUUUAUCUCGACCUUUUUGCCACUAAAAUUUAGCUAUAGUACCUUCCAAAUCAGCACAUAAAGAUUUAGGGAGUAAAAAACAAGCCAUAGUAUAAAUUGGAAUGGAUUGUAGUAUAGCCUUUAUGAAAACCUUUUUUCCUCCUUAAGAGAGAUGCCUUAUACUCCAGUUAUCAAUUCGUUGUUCAAAUUUGUCCUUUCAAGACUUGAAAAAACGAUUUCUUGUUUCUUCCCACCAUAUUAGGGAGACCAAGGUACCGUUUUGAGUUAUUUGAUCUACGCACUCCAAGUACAUUAGAAACUAUUAUUUUUUCCCCAUCCUACAUAUUAGUACCGAAAAAUACUGUUCCCUUAUCAAAGUUAACACAAUAAUCUGAACAAAUCUCAUAUUCUUUCAAAAUCUGCUUUAGAGAAUGUGUUCCUCUUUCAGUAUCAUCUGUUUGCUUGUACUCUUCUUAGUAUAUUUUCUUUUAUUGCAAGCCUCAUAAGACUAGAGAGGCCUUCCCCACAAAAUAAAAAUAGAAACGGACUCAAGGGAUCUCCCUGUCUUAAUCCUCUAGUCGGAUGAAAAAUUUCCCCAAUGUGUCCAUUGAAAACCACCGAGUACGAUAUUGUAGAUGCACAUUUCAUUAAAGAAUCAACCCAUCUAGAAUCAAAACCCAUUCUCUUCAUUAUUUCUUCCACAAAAUUUCAUUCAACCCUGUUGUAUGCUUUGUUCAUAUCUAAUUUUACCACCAUAAACCCUUUUUUCCCCACCUUCUUGUGCUUUAAUGUGUGUAAAAUUUCAUAAGCCAGUAACACAUUAUAAAAAAUCAAUCUCCCAGGUACAAAAGCACUUUGUGCUAAAUCAAUACAUUUAUCAACCACUACCCGAAGACGAUUAGCAAUGACUUUAGCUAUCAAUUUAUAAAGCACAUUACAUAAGCUAAUUGGUCUAAAUUGAGUAAUACUAGAAGGGUUUGAAUUUUUCAGUAUUAGCAUAAUAUUUGUUUUAUUGAUCGAAUUUAUAUCCAUAUCUUCAUUCAGUCAUUGAAGACAAAAGGCUGAAAUAUCUUCUCCGAUGAUCGGCCAACACUUUGAUAAAAUAAGGCCGGAAAAUCGUUCUCUCCUGGUGUUUUUGUGGGACCUAAUUCUGAUAAUGCUUCUUGUAUCUCCUCCUUAGUGUAACUCACUUUUAGCCUAAAAUUGUCUUCAUCAGAAAUACAACAAUCGAUCCCUGACAAAAUAUGUACAUAAUUUCCUUACCUCCCAGCUGAAAAUAAUCUCUGAAAAUACGAUCUAGCAAUUUCUUCCAUUUCCCUAACCUUUUCCUUCUCCCUACCAUUAUCAAACUGCAUUUUGCGAAUAAAAUUUCUUCUUCUCCUCUGUGUCGCUUGCUUAUGAAAAAACGUGGUAUUUCUAUCUCCAAAUUUCAGCUAGUUUACUCGAGCUCUCUAUUCCCAGUAGCACUCAUCAUUCUUAAUCUCAAAAUUUAGUUGUAUCUUUGUGUCAGUGAGUUCUGGCAAGUUUUCAUCAUUUCUAUCGGAUUCCAACAAUUUUGUCAAUUUAGAAGUUAAUGCCUCCUUUUUUAUUUUCAUGCUGCACCGAAUUUGAUUAGCCCACCUCUCUAAGCCUUUCUUCAUACUUUCUAACUUGCUCAGUAGAUCUCCUGUGGAAUUCUCCCAAAUGUACCUAACCUCCUCAACAAAUGUUCCCUCCAAAACCCCCAAUCUUCAAACUUAAAACUUUUAUUAAAUUGCCCUUUAACUUCACGUUCUGUAGUAAUGAAUACAGGACAAUGGUUUGAAAAAGAAUGAAGAAGGUGUUGAAUUAAGGAAUCUGAAAAUAAAGAUAUCCAUUCUUCAGUGGCCACUCCUCUAUCUAAUCUUUCUUGAAUGUUCGUUUUCGACAAAUUUCCUCUCCCUAAGUGAGCCAGUUUCCUGAAUAACCCAUAUAAACUAGAUUACAAUCUUCCAAUGCCUUUUGAAAAGCUUUUAUUUGUCUCUCCUCUCGAGGUAAGCCUCCAUUCUUUUCAAAACCAUACAUAAUUUCAUUAAAGUCCCUACAAACUAGCCAUGGAGACUCUCCAUCAUUAUGUAAGUGUCCUAAAAGAUGCUAUGAUUCAUUCUUGUCCUGUGUGUAGGGAGAACCACAAAAACCAGUAAAUCUCCACUUGUUUCUAUCAUCUGUAUCUUCGAUUAUCACAUCAAUAUGUCAGUUUGAAAAACUCUGGAGCGUAAUAUUAACAUCCCCACGCCAUGCUAAACAUAAUCCUCAUCUAAAACCAAUCGAUUCAACAUUGAUACCAUUAUGAAAACCACAACUCCUUUGAACUCUUUCCAUCUGACUUCUGUUAAUUUUUGUCUCCAUGAAGAAGACCAUAUGAGGAUUGUAUAACUUCAGCAAAUGCCGAAGUCUUCGAAAUGCCUGUGUAUUCUCCAAUCCAUGGGCAUUCGAACUUAAGAUUUUUAUUGCGCCCAGUCGGCUUGCCUCUUGGCAGUCGCCGAUGAUAAAUGAUUAAUUUCCAACAACCUUCUAUUUUUAACCACCAUAAUGUUGUUUUCUUCAAUCUCCCCCCAGCUCUCUUUUCCCUCUCCUCUACUAUUAACACAUCAUCUUCUAGAUCAUGAUCCAUUGCAGUUUGAGCUUGACCUGUCAAUAAAUUUUCCUUCAUUGGCGUGAAGAGAACGUUCUUCCUUCCAAAUUAAAACCUAAAAUAGGGUCAAUAACCUUGUAAUACCCUUGUUUUUUGCCUACUCCCCACCCACUGUUGCCUUGUGUUCGUUCGUCUGUGCUGUUUCCACCUAGUACUCCUUCUCCUUCCUCACGUAGCCAAACUCUAUUCAUUGCUUAGGCUCUUCGAGAUUGUGCUCGCAAUGAUUAGUCCCAACCCAUCUAAGUGAUUUCUACCCCUAAUGCCACAUUUGUUUCACAAAAAGAGUCACUAUGACCUAAACGACCACAAUAGAAACAAAAAAGGGAAAUCUUUCAUACUUAAAUCUGACAUAUGAGUAUUUCCCACAAAACAUAACUUGUUUCUUCCUUUUAAGAGGACGCCGAAUAUCUAUUUGGACUUGUAUUCUCAUAAAUUUUGAUUUUCUUUCCCCAGAUUCGAACCAUCAUACUCCAUAAAAUUUCCUAUGAAAUUACCCAAUUGUAUAGCCAGAUUAUCAAAGAAAAAAACCUAUGAGAAUAGCAUGAAUUUGUACCCAGAAAGGUGUUAAAAUUAAAGGGACUUUUAAUGGGUUAUCCCCCACUUGCAGCUUGUAUAACACCAAUAAAUGAUUAUUAAAAGUCCAUGGUGAUCCCUUCAAAACCCUUUCUAUAUUUAUAACAUGAAAAAAUUGAAAUAAAUACCUUUUCUCCCCCAGAUCUCGAAUUUGAACAUCCCGAACAAGGUGCCAUAAGUUAGCCAUAGUGUUUUUCAUUGCUAGGAAGUGAAUAAUACUGGUCGUUAAAAAACACUCCACCAAUCUAAAGGCCCCUUUUUCUCUUUUCGUAUUCGGAUAUACUUGUAUUUGUAAAAUUGCUUCUUCUUCUUCAUUAAGCGUUAAUCUAGCAAAGUCAGUUUCCAUGGAUGCAGAUAAAUUUCAAGAAGCGUGAAAAUCCUUUUCUAAAGACUUAAAUAGGACUUUAAAUAUGGCUGCAGCUGACAAAAAACAGAAAACUCAAUAAAAACCUAAAAACUUGCCAGAGAGAGCAGACAGUUGCAUACUAAGGUAGCAGACUCUUUAGCAUGUAUUUUUUAGACAAGUACAAUACAAUCAAAAUACGUUAUAAAUAAAUAUCCAAGCAACCAUAAAAUAAAAUCAAAGUAAUACAGUACAAAUAGACUAAAACCAAAACAAUCUGGACUAAAACUCAUACAGAGCAAUUACAUAUAGUGGAUUUCAAACUUAAAAACUUUAAGUAUUCAAGAACCCGAGUCCAUUUUUAUUAACUGUGCUAAGGCUUUAUUGGCUCAUAACAAAUUUUUUUGUUUGUUUUUGUUUAUCAAAAAAUUAUUUGCUCAACAUAGCUUAAAUUAAUUUAUUUAUUGAAUUUUCUAAUUAGAUACCUCUAACAAGUGAGUCUUGCCUCAUAAAAAUAGAAUAAAAGUUUAAAUUGUGAAAAAUGCAAUUUUUAAAGACGCUCCUAAGUCCUGAGUCGAAAAGAAUUAGUUUAAAAUGGCUCGAGAUACCUUGGGUCUUCACAAAAACUAGCAAGGUAAAGGGCAUUGAAGCAGUCAAUGUAUGGGCAGAUUUACCAAGUAAUUUCCAUCAUUGCCUAUUUUGCUAUAUCCAAAGCAUACGAUGAAUCUGUACGUUAGAACAGGCUGGCCAGCCAGAAUGCUAGUUGCUUGUGGCUUUGCAUAACCAAAACUUCAGGAAACUAGUUUAGCAUUGUUGAUACGACAAAUCAACAAAGAGAAAAAGGUUGGAAGAGGUGAUCGACGGUUCACCCUUGAAAGGUAGAAAGCCGUCGUAAUGUAAUGAAGUGGUGGAAGAAGGUUGAAAGGAGGAGAGAAUCAAAACUUAGGUGAGAGUUCAUAUAGAGGUGCCACAUGUAAGGAUCAUGUUGGCUGUAAUGCCAGAUCUUGUUUCCAAAUAAAAGUAACAAUAUAACCCUAUAUAUUAGUGAUGUGACAUAAUAAGAUGGCUUAACAAACAAUGAUUGUCCCAUCACAAUUGGCAGAGGUAGUCUAUGACGAAGGUGCGCUCAAUGAUAUGACACGUGGAGGUGUUGCAGAAGUAGGUGUAACAAGCCGCAGAGGGACCAUGAACCGCUUAAAUUGUCUAGUGAAAUUCUAUCUGACGCCUGCAGAUUUGUUGCAAGGCUUAUUUCCUUUUAUUCAAUAUUUGUAAGACAAUUCUGCUAUCAUAUCAUCAGAUACAGUGAGCAAGUAUUGAGAAUGAAUGCAUUAGAAAAAGAAGAAACCAACAAAGGAUCUUAAUAACAAAUUUUUUUUCGAUCAUCUAUCAAAUAAUUCAUAGUAGCCAGAAAAGUUUGAGUUCUCUCUGCUUACAAUCGUACAAAGAAAACACAGAGCACCCUUACCUUAAGGGUUUCUCUUUAGAUCAAAAGCAACUGAACACCUUUCCGAUUUUGAAAUAUAUAAAUACACCAAGCAACCUUACCGGAUUCUUGAAUAUUUGUAGCAUAAACCAAUGCCGGCCUAGUCAUCUCUUCUCUUACUCUCAGCACACACCAGUAUUAGGCCAAUGGCUGGUUAUUGAACCAUGUGGUCCUUUUGGUUGUAG
rnacentral:lncRNA from 1 species